UACGAAGGGGGCUAGCGUUGCUCGGAUUGACUGGGCGUAAAGGGCGCGUAGGCGGUUUGCAUAGUCAGACGUGAAAUUCCUGGGCUUAACCUGGGGGCUGCGUUUGAUACAUGCAGGCUUGAGUUCGGAAGAGGGUCGUGGGAAUUCCCAGUGUAGAGGUGAAAUUCGUAGAUAUGGGAAGAACACCGGUGGCGAAGGCGGCGACCUGGUCCGAUACUGACGCUGAGGCGCGAAAGCGUGGGGAGCAAACAGG
rnacentral:rRNA from 1 species